rnacentral:rRNA from 1 species
GAUGAACGCUGGCGGCGUGCCUAAUACAUGCAAGUCGAGCGAACGGACGAGAAGCUUGCUUCUCUGAUGUUAGCGGCGGACGGGUGAGUAACACGUGGAUAACCUACCUAUAAGACUGGGAUAACUUCGGGAAACCGGAGCUAAUACCGGAAAUAUUUUGAACCGCAUGGUUCAAAAGUGAAAGACGGUCUUGCUGUCACUUAUAGAUGGAUCCGCGCUGCAUUAGCUAGUUGGUAAGGUAACGGCUUACCAAGGCAACGAUGCAUAGCCGACCUGAGAGGGUGAUCGGCCACACUGGAACUGAGACACGGUCCAGACUCCUACGGGAGGCAGCAGUAGGGAAUCUUCCGCAAUGGGCGAGAGCCUGACGGAGCAACGCCGCGUGAGUGAUGAAGGUCUUCGGAUCGUAAAACUCUGUUAUUAGGGAAGAACAUAUGUGUAAGUAACUGUGCACAUCUUGACGGUACCUAAUCAGAAAGCCACGGCUAACUACGUG